rnacentral:rRNA from 1 species
AUUGAACGCUGGCGGAAUGCUUUACACAUGCAAGUCGAGCGGCAGCGCGGGGCAACCUGGCGGCGAGCGGCGAACGGGUGAGUAAUGGCAUCGGAACGUACCCCGUCGUGGGGGAUAACUACCCGGAAAGGGUAGCUAAUACCGCAUACGAACCUGAGGGUGAAAGCGGGGGGACCCGAAAGGCCCUCGCGCGAUGGGAGCGGCCGAUGCCGGAUUUAGCUAGUUGGUAGGGUAAAGGCCUACCAAGGCGACGAUCCGUAGCUGGUCUGAGAGGACGACCAGCUACACUGGAACUGAGACACGGUCCAGACUCCUACGGGAGGCAGCAGUGGGGAAUUUUGGACAAUGGGCGAAAGCCUGAUCCAGCCAUUCCGCGUGAGUGAAGAAGGCCU